AUACAGUUAAUACCUCAUUUACCAUACCGGUAAUUUAAUUGGGCUGACUCUUUGUUAGGUGUGUUUAAUGUGCAGAAUAAUUCCCAAUUAUGUACAAUUCUAAUAUGUUAAAACGGACUUAUGUACAUAAGGCCAUUAAUAAUUAACUGUACGUAGCUAUUUGCUUUUUGAUUAUCUAGACAGUGUGAAGAAGUGAAGUAUUGAAAUUAUUUUAUGUUGCAUAAUGACAACAUGUUGCCCCUAUACAUUUAAGGACAAAGUCCAAUGACCGCCACCUGCUGGAGGGUGAGUGCAGAGGGGCGUGUAAUUGUUGAGCUGGACAAAGAGAACAUCUUUGCUGAUGCGAUGUCUUCUUUGGUUCAUUCUAUGUAUUGAACCUGGAAUACCAGGAGUCAGCGUGUGCAACAUUGGAACUAAUUCAGAGGUUUUUUGUAAGGAUAAACCCUGAAGAGGGAACAAAAUGUACCUCCAAGGUUGGGACAAGCAGAAGGACUGGGACCACUGUGAAGCGAAAGGUUGUUCACAUUAACCUUCAUGUCACAACUUUCCUCCAGUGGCUUACUGAAUUUGAGUGGAGAACUUCAAAUUAGAUGAUCCGUGGCCCAUGCUUUCUGGACAUUUACACAAGACGAACAACAAUGAAGACAAGCUCUCUCGCCAUCUUGCAAGACGCUGUCUCUGUCCAAUAGGUUUUUUGAGUGCAACAGUUUUGAUUUUUUUUUCCUUCUUUUACCCGUUUGUUAAAAAUUAUUUCAGCUACUUACACUUUAGUUGUCACAUGUAUUGGCUCACCCUACAAAUCAAUGAACUCAGUCCACAAAGCAAG